rnacentral:rRNA from 1 species
UACGGAGGGGGCUAGCGUUGUUCGGAAUUACUGGGCGUAAAGCGCGCGUAGGCGGCUUUGUAAGUUAGAGGUGAAAGCCCGGAGCUCAACUCCGGAAUUGCCUUUAAGACUGCAUCGCUAGAAUCAUGGAGAGGUGAGUGGAAUUCCGAGUGUAGAGGUGAAAUUCGUAGAUAUUCGCAAGAACACCAGUGGCGAGGCGGCUCACUGGCCCGGUACUGACGCUGAGGUGCGAAAGCGUGGGAGCAACAGG